rnacentral:rRNA from 1 species
AUUGAACGCUGGCGGCAGGCCUAACACAUGCAAGUCGAGCGGAGCGGCGGACGGGGGAGGAAUGCCUAGGAAUCUGCCUCGUCGUGGGGGAUAACGUCCGGAAACGGGCGCUAAUACCGCAUACUAUCAGAUUAGCCUAUGUCGGAUUAGCUAGGUGGUGGGGUAAAGGCCUACCCAGGCGACGGUCCGUAACUGGUCUGAGAGGAUGAUCAGUCACACUGGAACUGAGACACGGUCCAGACUCCUACGGGAGGCAGCAGUGGGGAAUAGUGGACAAUGGGCGAAAGCCUGAUCGAGCCAUGCCGGGUGUGUGAAGAAGGUCUUCGGAUUGUAAAGCACUUUAAGUUGGGAGGCGUUACCAACAGAAUAAGCACCGGCUAACCUCGGGCCAGCAGGCGCGGGAAUAC